AUAAAAUCAUCACUGAUAGAGUUUGCAGAAGACACAAACAUUGAGGGAUUAGUAAAUAAUGAAGAGGACAAGGCACUGAUACAGAGUAAUCAGGAUCACUUGGUAAACUGGGCCCAACCAAACAAUAUACAUUUAAAUACAGCA